CGUUCUCAGAGGCUGGGAGACGUUUUGAACCGCUAUUUCCGCAAAAGCCGUGGAACCGGCGGACCCAUGGGAAGGCGUGGUCUGUCGCCUACAACCGGCGGAAUUAUGGUGUCUGGCGAACUCUCCAGAUCGCCGGGUCCAUCACUUAAACCACUCUUCUGCUCCUCCACUCCCUUGGUUCUUGUUCCAUCUCCUCAAACCUAUAUGCAUGCACCUGUCCAGACCCUGCCUAAAAGCACUGUUGCUCCAGAAAGGUGCUGAAGAAAAAUGCCAGGACUGCGCAGGACGGCUGGGAAAGGCCUAUGCAAGGAAUGAAGUGACUGAGUGACCAAGCCAGGAAACACCUGGAGGAGUGUGUUUGCGGGGUGGACAGCAAGUGCAAAGAUCCUGAGAUUCAGCCACCGCCUAACCCCAGUCCUGACAUACCAGGGUACUUGACAUUCUUUGCAGCAACACAAUGGAUGAAGAUGAACAGGAACUUCAGAAUAAGAACUGACGACGUGUGAAUCUUGGUUCUACCAUUCACUGAGGCACUUUCUGUCUUCGUACAUGUCUAAGUAAAAGGUGCCUAAUGUUG